UACGAAGGGGCUAGCGUUGCUCGGAAUCACUGGGCGUAAAGGGUGCGUAGGCGGGUCUUAAGUCAGGGUGAAAUCCUGGAGCUCAACUCCAGAACUGCCUUUGAUACUGAGGAUCUUGAGUUCGGAGAGGUGAGUGAACUGCGAAGUGUAGAGGUGAAAUUCGUAGAUAUUCGCAAGAACACCAGUGGCGAAGGCGCUCACUGGCCCGAUACUGACGCUGAGGCACGAAAGCGUGGGGAGCAACAGG
rnacentral:rRNA from 1 species